rnacentral:rRNA from 1 species
UACGUAGGGGGCAAGCGUUGUCCGGAUUUAUUGGGCGUAAAGAGCGUGUAGGCGGCUGGGUAGGUCCGUUGUGAAAACUCGAGCUCAACCUCGAGACGCCGAUGGAAACCCUCCAGCUAGAGUCCGGAAGAGGAGGAGGUAGGUACUUCGUGGUGUGAGCGGUGAAAUGCGCAGAUAUCAGGAGGAACACCGGUGGCGAAGGCGGUUCUCUGGGCAUUACCUGACGCUGAGGAGCGAAAGUGUGGGGAGCGAACAGG